GUCCACUUUAAGUUUGUAAUUAUGGUUGGGAUUUUGUUCAUGGGCUUAUUUUUGGAUGGUUUUGAAGUGUGGUCGUACUCUGUCACUAAGCACUUGUAGUUAAGUGUAUGUGUCAUAAUCUUGUUUUCUUCCCCACGUCAUCUUUAAGCUCGGGUUGUCAGGUCGGAGGCUGACGGCUCCUUCACCCUCACCUUGUCCGUCCCUGAGCUGGAGAUGGCCUUCGGGAAAAAGUUCAAGUCCAAGACUAAUAAGAAAGAGAAGGCUUGAGGGAGGUCCCAUUUUCCCCAAGUGUCGGACAAAUAUAUAGAAACCAGGGCGCCCAUCAACCCUCCGUUCCCCUUCGACCCGGACCAUCCUCUAAACACCUUCCUGUAACCCUCUCCGGCCUGACACCCUCCGGUGGCAGAAAACAACAACCAUCACGUCACCAUGUUGUCUCUGAACUCUUUUUUCCAGAAAUGUUUUGGUAGAUAUUAAAGGAUAUCAUGGAUUCAUCAGCAGUGUCAUUCAAAGCUUUCAGGCCAUGCAAAAGGUACAAUUAUGUACCUAUUUUUGCACUCUGAUGUUUGAUUUUUACUCGAGUUACAGGCGUGGAUAUUUGCUGUAGCUGUUUGGAUAAACUCUUGUAUCCUUUAAUAUCCCUUUAAGUGUCUAGAUCCUUAAAAAAGGGGGCUGGAGGCCUGGUUUUGAACAGAAGCACAUUGAAAUGGGACAGGAGACUUUUUUUGAAAUCGCUGUUACCAUUGAUGAGUUGAAUUAAUUUGAAUUAUUAUGCUGUAAAUUAGUUGUGCUGCCAUUACUGUUGUUCCCUAAAGUGUCUGAUGUUGUUUCGAGCUCGACAUACAAGAUAUUUUCUACCAAUUAUUCACAAAAGCCAAUGUCCCAUUUGAAUUUGAUAGACCUUAACAUUGUCUUGGUGACUCAGUGCUCAGAGGCUAUACAGAUCCUUCAGUAAUGGACAGUAGAUUUAUAAACCUGGUUACUGUGAGAUUUGUCGCUAUAUAGAGAAUAUAUUUAUUUGUGACGGACCUGGGAAAGAGUCAGAAGCCAUUCAAAUACUUUUUGCUGGAUAGUGUAACGUCUUGUCUAAAAAGGUUUCUGUAAAUGAAACUAAUGACACUUUACAUCGUUAAAUUAUCCAGCAAUAUACAAGCAAUCUCUGCAGAGCAUUCCUGCCAGCUGGGAUUAGAAACUGAGUUAUUUACUGACAAUAGAUAUUCUAUGAACCCACUGUAAAAAAACAACAACCUACAAACACUGUGUUGUUUUAUUGAAUUUACUGUCUACUGUUAAUUAUAUACGAUAGUCUAUAAGAACCCAAACUGAGUAUUUGAUUGGACUUCUGUUACACUUUCUACCAAGUCUGGUUUGUUGAUUGUUUGUGUUUUUAUUUUUAUUUACUGGAGCUAAAACAUGUGGUUUAUUACAAAAUGGUUGGUAAUGUUGACUUACUGUUGAUUAAAGGUUUCAUAUUAAAGCCUCAAUCCAGGUUUCAAUAACAGACAGUAGACGACGAUUUAAAAACACAGAAAACCUCUAAUGUCAUCACAGCUGUCAGAUUACCUAAAUCCAUCAAAGUUAUUCAAAAUAAAAAUACUUUUAGCUGUUUCAAAAUGCUUGUUAUCUUUGUGAUGAGUUAACAACCUAACGUCUGAAAUAUGGUAUAACACUUUGAUACUGGAUGGAUCCUUUAAUGGUUCACAAGGGUGAUUUACGGUUCCAACUCUGACUACACAUCCACAUGCUGGUAAUGAUGAACUCUACUGUGUAUUUUGCAAAACUUUAAACAUUAACAGCAUAAUGAGAAAAAGGAGGUGUUAGCUGCUAUGUAACCAGGAACUUGAGCUAAUAUGUUGCUGUCUGAAAAUAAAUUUGCUCCAGUAAAAAUCCUUGGAAAACUGUCUGUUACGUUGUAAUGUCUCAAGGUGAAACAGGUCUGUAUUUUUUGGCUUAAAGAAAAUGGGUCCCCUAUUAUACUAUUUUUCAACAAUAUAAUAUAGGUCUCAGUUAUAUACAAAACAUGUCUCUGAAGUGUUUGGCUCGAAAUGCCAAACAGAUAAUGCAUUGUGGCAUCCCAUAAUCCCCUCUGUUUCAGCCCUGUUUCAAAAGUGUUGAUUCUGUGUCUAGUUUUAAAUGCUAAUGAGCUGCUGCUGGCCACGCCCCUCUGCUAGAUUAUUGGUUUGAAAACACAAUGGAGAUUCAAGUGAUAAGGUGGGCGGGUUUUACCUUGGUUUGUUAUUGGUUAAUGGUUGUACAACUUUGUGACAUCACAAAGUGGCCUAAAUCUGAUCAGCUCAUUUUUAGACAGGUUUUUAUAUAAAUUGAUCAGGACAAAAAGUGAGCAAAUCUUUUUUCCUGAAACUUUCCGAAUCUCUUUACACAGAGGGGACACAUGUUUACGUAUAAAAGACACGACGAAGGGGAUUUUGCAUAAUAGGUGACCUUUAAUGUUGCAGAAUCAAGGAAAAAUCUUAGCUGACCGUACCAUUCUUGUUUCCUUGAUGUCAACAACUGUACCUGAUAUUGACAGCCUUUUUGAGGGUCAGAUAACCCUUUUAAUGUUAUUUAAUGUCACCGCUUUGUUACUGUUGUCAGUGCUGUGGGUGAUGUUCAACAAAUGGAAGUUAUAGAUGUAAACAUUUGUCAAACAGGUACAACUGAAUGCUAAAGGCAAAAGAGGAUGUGGACUUGUGCUACUCUUCAAAAGUCUUUGUUGUGUCCAGUUUCUGUCCAGUGUUUUCUGAUAUUUUAGUGCUUGACUCUGUAUUACAUUAGAUAGUUCAUAUUUUUUGGUUGAAUGUUGUUUAAUAAAUAAAUAAAGCUUGAAAAUAUUUCGUUUUCUUGAACUGCCAAAGCAUUUGUGUGGACAUGUGCAGUGCUGUGUUAUUGACAACAGUGAUACUCAGUGGAUAAAUGGAAUAAAUACACCAGGUCAGUUCAGUUGGGCUGCCGUCUCUCCCUAUGCUGCCCUCUUCAGAAAAACAUUAGUGUUACACUUCUGUUAACUGCACAAAGGCAGUGGUCAAAUAUUCUGAAUGUUGAUCCAUUGAAAAUAAGUUGUAUCAACAUACACCAAGUUGUUGCUUGACAGCCAAAAUACAACUGAAAGAUCUUGUGACUAUUUCAUUGAAAUAUUGAAAAAAAAUUUCAUGGUAUUUGUGAUAUUGGGCUAUAUAAAUAAAAUGUGAUUGCUUGAUUGAAUUUGAGGAUUCUGGGUACUAUUACAGCUCUUAUGAUAUUUCUUUCAGACCAUACAAUUUAUUAUUGUGUUACAUUUUUGGAACAUAGUUUAGUAUGAAUGUUACGAGCAUUUUUUACCAAACGUAGUGGUGUAGAACAAUCAGUAUUUAUAAUGUUAUACUGUACUCUGACUUUUCUUUUGAACGGCUAAUGAUAUACUAUACUUUUACUUUGAAUGGUCUUUCUAUGACAUGUUAUACUAGGAACCUUAUGUGUCAUACUUUACUAUGACCAUUUAAGGUAUUUUUCGGACAUACUCUGACUUUUUCUAAAAGUUUGACUCAUUUCUGAUUCUUUCAUGACAUAAUGAGGUUCUUAGUAAAUGUCUUAUGACACACUAUAUGCAUAGCCUUUUGAAUUACUCUUUUUAUGAUUAACUAUACCAUGGCCUUUUUAAUGACAUUUUUAUAUACUGUAGCUUUUUCCAAGACUCAAUAUUCUAUAACUUUUUUUAUUUUAUAUUAUAUUGUGACCCUUUUGAUCAAAUCAUUUUCAUCAUCAUCAUCAUCAUCAUCAUCAUCAUCAUCAUCAUCAUCAUACCUAGGACCUUUACUCUCUUUGAUAUUUCAUUUAAAUAUUUAUGAAGCACUUUUUUUAAAUUACAUACUAUACUGGGAUUUAUUUGUCUUCAUAAUGCUGUGACAAAAAGUGUUCCCUAAUUGGGAAUAAUAAAGUAAAUAUAGUCUAAUCUUAGAAGAUGACACAUUUGAAUGUCUGUGAACAAGGUUUUACGUUUUUAUUGAAUCUCAGGCAGAAACAUACAUGAUAAUCCUUUAUUGCUCAAUGGCAUUCCACGUCGCACUCAGCGGCCUGUUCUUACAUUCAACCCAACAAUAAGUUAAACUGAAUCAAGCAUCACUUCCCGUCUGGUUGUACUGUGUAACUAAAUAGCAUAGUAAUAUAAUAUAGUAGCCAAACUUGCUCUGUGUAAGUGUGUAUUGAGGGAGGGUCUCUUUGUCGCAAAUCUCCACAUGAUGCAAAAUCCAGCCCACUUUCAAGUUUAUACUGCUUAUUAUGAAUACAUAUUUCUUCUUAAUUAUACAGAUUCAUUCACUAUUCUCUCCCUAGUAGUAUGCCCUGAUAGUAGUAUUAUAUAUAUAUAUAUAUAAGUUCUGGAUUUAUGGCUGAAAGCUUAAGGUUUUGGCUAUUGUAUGAAUGGCUACACUGUCAUUCUUCAUUGAGACAAUGAAACAUCAAAAAAAAGAAACCCUGCAAACCUGUAAAGGAAAUUUCCUGAAUGCAUACAUAUCGUUUUUUUAAAUUACUGAUAUUGUUAACGAUUAUAUUGACAUGAAAG